CCUACGGGGGGCAGCAGUGAGGAAUAUUGGUCAAUGGCCGGAAGGCUGAACCAGCCAUGCCGCGUGAAGGUCAGUGCCCUAUGGGCGUUAAACUUCUUUUGUGCGGGAGCAAUAAUGGUCACGUGUGGCCAGACGAGAGUACCGUACGAAUAAGCAUCGGCUAACUCCGUGCCCGCAGCCCCGGUAAUACGGGGGAUGCAAGCGUUUUCCGGAUUUGUUGGGGUUAAAGGGGGCGUAGGCUGUGAGGUAAGUCAGCGGUGAAAUGCCCCCGCUCAACGGGGUGAAGUGCCAUUGAUACUGCCUGGCUGGAGUGCGGAUGCGGUGGGAGGAAUGUGUGGUGUAGCGGUGAAAUGCAUAGAUAUCA
rnacentral:rRNA from 1 species